UGAAUCUAUGAUCACAAUUUCACUAGCAAAAAAAAGUAAUGGAGAAAUGAAUCUAUGAUAAGCCAAUUACAUUCAAUGAAGAAGAUCUAGCUAGAAAGUAUCGUACUACUGAGAUCAAAAUAAAGCCACCAAUCGAGUUUUUCACCGAGAAGCUAACAGAUUGAAAUUAAUACCCAAGAGCAUAUAUAGUAAUAAGAUUACCUUGAGAGGUCGUUAAUGGCGGAU